rnacentral:rRNA from 1 species
CCCUUAGAUGUUCUGGGCUGCACGCGCGCUACACUGAUGCGCUCAACGAGUUUACGACCUUGCCUGGAAAGGUUGGGUAAUCUUCUUAAAACGCAUCGUGAUGGGGAUAGAUUAUUGCAAUUAUUAAUCUUCAACGAGGAAUUCCUAGUAAGCGCGAGUCAUCAGCUCGUGCUGAUUACGUCCCUGCCCUUUGUACACACCGCCCGUCGCUCCUACCGAUUGAGUGCUCAGGUGAAUAAUUCGGACUGCAGCAAUGUUUGGAUCCCGAACGUUGCAGCGGAAAGUUUAGUGAACCUUAUCACUUAGAGGAAGGAGAAGUCGUAACA